CAAUUAACUGCUGAAAUUUGUCUGGUAUUGUAAUCACACGGUCAUUUAACUAUCUUUCCGAGUGAAAAACUACAACAAAAUGUCAAGAUGUCUUCAUGUUAUGUAGAUCAUGUAAUGUACUUUCGACAAAAGAUGAUUGUAAGAAUUUUCUCCGCUAGUGAUCAUGAGUACAUACUAUGACUGAGGAUAUACCAGAAUGUAUAAGAAUUUGUGUUUAUUUUGGAAGACAAAUUAUUGCUUAAUCUUAAUCGUAACACAAUUUUUAUUGGUAAGUAAAAACAAUAAGUUUGAAUUAUUACAUUGUCACAGUAUGGAAAACAUAUUAAGUUAUUGGAAAACAUGUAUUAUUGACUAAUUAUAUGUAUGUAAAGAUAUGUCAUAAUAAGAUCUUUAUCGAUUGAAAAACUUUUACACAUCAAGGCCAUUCGUCACAAUCCAGCGUUAAUCCUUUAAAAAAAUAAAAUCCAUGUUUCGUAAUUUUGACAUAAAUUUUUAAUACUUUUUGAAUGGAUAGAUAUAUUUUUACUUAAUUAAAUCUAUUGUUAUGUUUAUGCCCCCGAAUGGACUUGUUAGAAUAAACAACAAUCAGUCAAUAUUGGGGCCGUCAAUAUUACACUUUAUUAUUGUUGUUUAUGAUUAAUACUAGUUUGAUGACUUACAUCGUAUUUGUCAGAUCGGACACAUGUCGCCAUAAAACGAUUGCUUUGUAAGAUUGGUAAAAAGUAAGUUCAUUUCUUAUCUUUACUUACUGUUUGUUUAUUAUUAUAUUGAUUAAGAUUAUAAAACAAUAUUAAAUGAUGUACCCCUUUUUAAAAACUUUUUUACCUUUAAUGUCUGUUUUCCUGUUCUCACAAUAUAAUGCAAUUGUAUGAGACUGUUAUAGAAGUGAAUGGUUUAGUUAGCUAUUACAAAAAUGUACACCAGUUUUAAUUAACCAUUUUCUACAUAAGAGCCUAUACUAAGUCCCGAAUAUAUCAGCUGUUUAUCAUUCGUUUUAUAUAUUCCAAUCUUUUGCCAUUUGUUAAAGGACUGUGUGCCUUGAUUUGACCUUGGAGUUUGGUAUUUUGUAAUAUUUUACUUUUUACUGGGGCUGGUUUGCUGUUUCAAAUAUUUUGUUAAUUGCUAGUGAAGUUACAUGUGUACCUUUGCCUUUUGGAGUUUAUUCUGAGCCUCAUAUUCUUUUCAAAACAUUUUUAUUGAAUCAUUUCGAUAUAUUUAGUAGUUUUAAUUUCUUAUAUUAUAUCUGAUAAAGGAAUCUCACAAUUUCAUCUUAAAUUAUUUUGCAAAUGAAUAACCAAAGUUUUAGUUGUCAAUGUCCCGUUUUAAAAAUAGAUGUUACUAAUAGUACUAUCGAUCUAUAGCUGACUAUUAGUGCAAGACAGUUUACACUGUGAAAGUUCGUUCAGAUUUUAUAUAUGUUUACAUCAACUUUAAAAUCUUCUUUUAAUAGAUGAAACCGUUUUAUCUAACCGGAACUUCUAAAGGUGCAAAAUAAUUAAACAAACAUUACAUCAAUCCAAUCUACUUUAUUAAUGUACUAUUAAGGGAAUAUUUGCAUCGGUAUAAAUGACAUGAUUCAAAAAGAUUUAAAUAACAUAUCAUACAAAUGUAUAACCAUUUGUGAAGCUUAAUACUGCGCCCAAAUACGUAGGUCCUUAUUUCGACAACUAAACGAUAAUCACCUCUUGUACAGAUGGAAUACCUUUCCAUUCUACGUUUGUUUAUUUUCCUUUCACUUUUGAACGUCAUCAUUAGGGUUUCACAGUACAGUAGUCCAUGAAAAAUACAUAACUACACUUUAAAAGCAUUUAAGGCUUACUAUCUAAAUGGAUAGAUGUCUCAAUUGAAAUUAUUCCACAUCUACAUAUUUUUAAAUGGUUUCAAACACAAAAUACUCACACAGAGGCCUAUUUAUAACACGAUUUCACUUAUGCUCCUGUUUGUCUUUUGUUAUCGAAUUAUAUUUUUUUUAAAUAUAUACAGCUUAGAAUAUAUGUAUAGAACAUCAGAAGUCUAUAAGUCUAUUACUAGGGUAAAGGUCUUCUGCGAUAAGAUUAUUUUAAUCCCAUUGAUUAGGCAAAUCGAAUCAUUGCAACAAAAAUUAGCAAAAAGGUAGUUUGAAAAAAUAUAUGAACGUAAAAAAAUGAUUAGAGGAAUAGAUUAAAAAUUAUACAAAAUAUAAACUUUUAUCAAAUAAACAAAUCCUCUCUAAAGAAAAAAUAAUAUGGAAAAUAGAAAAGCAGGCAUCGUAAUCUCCAACAAACGCUGAAGUUGACAUGAACCGAAACACUUAGCUCCAUCCUUUACUUUGACAAAACAAACAAACAAAAUGAAUAAGUUAUUAAUUAUAAUUAUUCACGUUUGUAAAAUGUUUGAAACUAAGUGUUCGGAAGCUUAUCGAUCAUUGCAUUUAAAUUGGUUGCAGACCGAGCGAUAUAAAAUAACGAGAGAAUCGGACAAAUGUUUAUCAUUUUACAAAGAAGAUGAUGUAUACAUCUCACUCAUAAUAGUACAACUAAUUAUAAAUCAUACAUGUAUUACCGCACGCCGAAGAUAUGCUUAAUGCAGUGAUAACUCAGUGCAUGCUGUCUUAUCCAUAUGUUUUCUUAUUUGUGUUGUACCUGUGUGAGGAGGGUUGAUUCUAACAUUAAAUAAAUUCACACUCUCUGUACCAUCACUCUUCUCGUCUGAAAAAAAAGCUUGUCAGUUAAAAAGAGCGAUGGAAAAUCCCGUUUGUAAAUAAUGGAGGGUCUGGAAUUUCUUGAUUUCUGUAAUCUUUUCAUUUUUAGGUCAUUUUUGCUUCUUAUCUAUAUUAUGCUUUGCUCGGUAUUCUCUAUAUAUUGUCUAUACUUUAUAUGUUAAGCACUCCAUUAUUUUCCACCUCUCUUCCCACUUUUCUGUAGUACCAGAAGUCUCUCUACUGUAAAAUCCAUACAACAAUUAUCGAAAACUGUUGUUAGGCCCUGUUUACCAGACUUCAAAGUCAAAAUGUUUACCCCCGUUUCAGAAGUUUAGGAUGAACAUUUCUCAUUAAUGACUGCUCUCUAUUGAGAAUCGAGAUAUCACAAUCCCUCUCUAACAUACGUAACAUACGAAUACUUCUUUCGAUUCCCUUCAAUGACCAUACAAAAAAUAAAUAGAAAGAAAAAUUAAAAGUUGAACUAAGUAACUGUGAUUAAAACCAGCAAAGUGAUUUAUUUUAUGCUUAUUCAAAUUGAAACUAUCGUCAACAUUUUCGUUACAUUCCAUUGAAUUUUAUUGACAAAUAAAACUUCAAUAGGUAAGGAAAUAUAAAUAUCAGGUGGAUUGCAAUUACACAAGAGAAAUCAUGACAGAAAUUCUAUUUUAUUAAUGAGGUUUGUUUCUAAUUAAGUGUAAUUACAGCACUGUUUCAUCAGUGUCAUUGCAAAUAGUAUCGAGAAAGUAGUUGAUUUUUUUAUACAACGUUUCAUCAGUGCUCGCCAAUAUUUAAAAGAAAAAAAAACAAGCUAAUAAAUGAAAAAAGAAAUCAUUGGAGGAUGUAAAAGAUAAUCUGACAUGGAGGUUUGUAAUUUUCAUUUUAAGAUUUCUUACAAAUUACUGAUAUUUUGCUUUAAACCUUAGAAUGUUAAUUAACAUUUCUGCUAAAGCUUAAGAAUGAUUUCCGUUGUGUUAUAUACAUUUUAAUGUCGAAACUUGCAUUUGUAUUUGUGGUAUUUGUAUUUUUUUCCAUCUGAUGAGUUAAGUCUUUUUCAACUGAUUUCUAUAGUUUGUUUGUGUUGUAUUGUUGCACCGCUGUCCCAGGUUAGGGUUGGGGUAAAGGGGGAUCUCGCUAGCAUGUAUGACCCCGCCACAUUGUCUAUGUGUGUGCCUGUCCCAAGUCAGUAGCCUGCAAUUCAGUGGUUGUCGAUUGUUUAUAUGUUACAUAUUAGUUUUUCGUUAAUUUUUUUGUACAUAAAUUAGGCCGCUAGUUUUCUCCUUUGAAUUGUUUUACAUUGUCAUUCGGGUCCUUUUAUAGCUGACUAUGAGGUAUGAGCUUUGCUCAUUGUUGAAGACCAUACGGUGGCCAAUAGUUGUUAAUUUCUGUGUAAAGUCGUCUGCUGAUCCAAAAAACGUCAAUGUAUUGUAAAACUCUUAUGUUGAUUUACAUGUAUGUAUGCCUUCAACCCAUAUGGAUAAAAAUGUGCAUUUAUAUUCAAUAAAUGGUUAAUAAUUAAGGUCUUUCCUUUCUUAAAUGGAAAGACCUUACUGUAUUUCGUUUGUUUAUUAUUAAGGUCUUUCCUCUCCGCGAGGAAAGACCUUAUUGUUUUUCUCCUGUUUUUUUUUUUUUUUUUUUUUUUUUUUUUUUUUUUUUUCAUCCAGCAUUUGUUUGACAUGGCCUCCCCUCCUUUCUAUUGGAGUUAUCAAGACCAAAUAUGGACCAUCGGUAGACCUCAUCAUGAAGUAUUAACAGAUGAGGCUGUGUAGGAUUUCAUCAUCCCCUUUAGAAGUUAUCUCCCUUUUAUUGGUUUUUUUUCGACAUGGCCCCCCCUCGUUGUUUUUGAAGAUAUCAUGACCUUAUUUGGACAACAGUUAGAUCUUAUCAUGAUGUGUUACCAUAUGAGGCUGCUAAGGAUUUCAUUAUUCCCUAUGAGAGUUACGUCCCCUUGAAGCAAUUUCUUUCUUUUACAUUUUUCUCAAAAAGUAUUCAAGAUAGAAUUGAUUUGAAAACUGCAACAUGUACAAGACCAGAUGGCAAUGAUAAUGAACAUAUACAAUCAUUUUGUUGUUAACCCUUAUAAGGAGUUAUUUCCCUUGAAAAAUAUUACACAAUUUUUGAAAAAUUGUAUCUCCAGAACCGGAUGUCGUAAAGACUUGGGACCUACACCAAUAAUCUUAAGUUCAUGUGACCUUUAAUUUCAACCCAAGGUCAAAGGUCACCAAGUGCAAAAAAAAAUUACGCUGCAAUUUCAAGCUUGCAUAUUAAGAAAACGAUAAGAGUUUGCUGCAUACUUACAGAGUAUAAAAUGUUCCUCUCUAUGAGCUCUACAUUUUAUACACUGAGCUCAAAAGUGUCCGACUGUCUGUUCAAAAGUUACGACAGGAUGAUUAUUAAAAGUAUAGUAUUUUGUGUAUAUCUUUUUAAAGGUAACAGAUAUCAACUUACUAUAAACUGCAAAGAUGAUCAGUAAUUCAAGACCUUCAAUUUGAGGUCAAUGUCAGGUCAUGAUGAAAUUUCACCUUGACCUUCACAUUAUACUAUGACCUUGACCUUGUGAUAUUUGAAAGGUCAAGUGGUCCUGAGUUGAAUGGUGAUAGUCCCAUAUCUCUACGACUUCCGGUUCUGAAGUUUGGUAUUGCAUCAUAUAUUUGAUGAUUAAUUGUGACCUUGGUGAACUUUGAAAUUGUCCAAAUUCUUUUUCUAUGAUGUUGUCCUUUAACUUAGAUCAUUUACCAUUUAACAGAUUUGAGAUAUCUAUUGUCGUUUUAGAGAUAAUCCAGUUUGAAAUUUUCCGAGCGGCGGCAUGUAUUUCUGAAUCAACAACAGCUUACCACUUAAAAUGUUUAGAAAUUGAAGAGGUUAAUAUAGUUAUAUGUUUGACCAAAUACCAAAAACAUUCCAUGGAAAAAAACGCCAAAAAUUCAAUUUGAAAUUUUCAAGUUUUGCAUUGACUUUGUAAGUUUCAUAACUUCUAUUUAUAUAGUUGAUAUUGCAUCAUUUUUUGCACUUUGUCAAAUGGGGUCAUCUGAUAUAUCAAAUUGAAGGUCUAAAUGUACUCUACUUAAAAAUGAAAAUUUUAAACCCCCUUUUCAUCCCAGGGGGACGGGUGGGGUCAUUUAGUGCAAACAUUCAAAUUUCUCAGAUGGUAAGGUUGUCGCAUAUCAAAUGAAAGAACAUAAAGCGUACAUUUCAAAUUUCAAAUUGACGUCUCCCAAAAAUGGGUUGGAUGGGUCAUUGAGUGCAAAAAAUAAAUGUUCUUUUAAGGUAGGGUUGUUGUAUAUCAAAUGAAAGGUCAUGAUGUGUACAUUUGAAAUAUCAAAUUCCCGACCUCCAAAAAUUUGUUGGAUAGGGUUAUUAAGUGCAAAACUCAAACUUUCAAGAACAUGGUGUUGUCGCAUAUCAAACGAAAGCUCAUCUACUCUGUUCCAUAUAUCAUAAUUCCGAUCUCAAAAAUGUAGACGGAUGAGGUCAUUAAGUGUAAAAAGCGAAAAGUUUCAGAAGGUGUGCUUGUCGUAUAUCAAACGAAAGGUCGUACAAAGUACAAUACGAAAACAUCACUUUUACAGGAAAGACCUUUCAAUUGUUUUACAAACAAUUGAGAUACUAGUUAUUAUUCUUUUUCUUCCGCCGUUUUUCAAAGUUAAUCGGUGAUAAAAGUACGCAAGAUAUCAAAAUGAUCUUUGGUAUCAAGUAUCGGGUUAAUAAAAGCUAUCUUGUAUUAGGGGCACCGAAGUGUACUAUUUACUUUAUAGGAGUUAUCUCCCUAUUACAAAAAAACACUGUUAUUUUCGCUUCAUAAACUAUAAGACUUAGUGGCAAAUGUUUUUUUUUAAAAUGUUCCUUGCCAAAUAAUACAAGUUCAAAUAAUUUUAACCGAAGCGAUCCGGUGACUUAUUAUAGGAGUUAUUUCCCCUUGAAUAUUUUAAUUUUCGAUAUGCAUAUAAAUCUCAUGAACCGUAAGUCGUAAAGACUGCGGGUCUUCAGAUUCGAGUUCAUUGGACCAAAACUUGAAAAUAUAGGUCAAGGUCAAAGGUCAAGGUCAUAUUUUAGAUUUUCAAAAGUUUUUCAUUUCCCUAUAACUAUUGAACGGUUAUAGAUACAGAAAAUUUAAGCAGUGAAAAAUGCUUGGUACUUCAAGGGGCAACUUUUUUACAUUAUGACUAUAUUGAUUUUACCAUCAUGUAAGGGACAUAACUCCCAUUGAUGGUUUUUAAAAGCCAUUUUUAGGCAAAACUCUUAAACAAAAGGUCCUUGACCCAUACGGUCUUUUGCAAUGACCUUGUGGAGCAAUGACCUUGACGAAGGUCACAAGGUCAAAGGUCAAGGUCAUCAAAUUAUGUGUUUUUGGCACUAUUUCAACAGUUUAUGUGUGUUUGAAUUCCAAUCAAUCAAUCAAUGAAUCAAUCAAUCAAUCAAUCAAUCAAUCAAUCAAUCAAUCAAUCAAUCAAUCAAUGCACGUUUCCGUUCAUGUGUUUAAUACUGGAUCCAAGGUCUCUUUUUUUCGCUUGUUUUAAUUGACCCUUUCCAACGUGUUUAACCAAUCAACGUGUUUAAGCAACAUGUUUAACCAACGUGUUUAAGUAACCAACCAACGUGUUUAACCAACCAAUCAAUCAAUCAAUCAAUCAAUCAAUCAAUGCAUGUUUCUGUUUCAUGUGUUUCAUACGGGAUCCAAGUUUUUUUUUCGAUUGUUUUAAUUGAGCCUAUCCAACCAACGUUUUUAACCAACGUGUUUAACCAACAUGUUUAACCAACGUGUUUAACCAACCAACCACCAACCAACCAAUCAAUCAAUCAAUCAAUCAAUCAAUCAAUCAAUCAAUGAAGUUUCCGUUUCAUGUGUUUCAUACGGGAUCCAAGUUUUUUUUUCGCUUGUUUUAAUUGAGCCUAUCCAACCAACGUGUUUAACCAACGUGUUUAACCAAAAUGUUUAACCAACAUGUUUAACCAACGUGUUUAACCAAUCAAUCAAUCAAUCAAUCAAUCAAUGCAUGUUUCCGUUUCAUGUGUUUCAUACGGGAUCCAAGUUUUUUUUCUCGAUUGUUUUAAUUGAGCCUAUCCAACCAACGUGUUUAACCAACGUGUUUAACCAACAUGUUUAACCAACAUGUUUAACCAACGUGUUUAACCAACCAACCAACAAUCAAUCAAUCAAUCAAUCAAUCAAUCAAUCAAUCAAUCAAUGAAGUUUCCGUUUCAUGUGUUUCAUACGGGAUCCAAGAGUUUUUUUCGAUUGUUUAAUUGCCUAUCCAACCAACGUGUUUAACCAACGUGUUUAACCAACAUGUUAACAACAUGCUUAACAACGUGUUUACAACAACCAACCAACCAACAACCAACCAACCAAUCAAUCAAUCAAUCAAUCAAUCAACCAAUCAAUCAAUCAAUCAAUCAAUCAAUCAAUCAAUCAAUCAAUCAAUCAAUCAAUCAAUCAAUCAAUCAAUCAAUGAAGUUUCCGUUUCAUGUGUUUCAUACGGGAUCCAAGUUUUUUUUCCGCUUGUUUUAAGUGAGCCUAUCCAACCAACGUGUUUAACCAACGUGUUUAACCAACAUGUUUAACCAACGUGUUUAACUAACCAACCAACGUGAAUAACCAACCAAUCAAUCAAUGCAUGUUUCCGUUUCAUGUGUUUAAUACGGGAUCCAAGAUUUUUUCCCCGCUUGUUUUAAUUGAGCCUAUCCAACGUGUUUUACCAACCAACGUGUUUAACCAACCAACAUGUUUAACCAACGUGUUUAACCAAUCAAUCAACCAACCAAUCAAUCAAUCAAUGCAUGUUUCCGUUUCAUGUGUUUCAUACGGGAUCCAAGGUUUUUUUUUCGCUCGUUUUAAUUGAGCCUAUCCAACCAACGUGUUUAACCAACAUGUUUACCCAACGUGUUUAACCAACAUGUUUAACAAACGUAUUUAACUAACCAACCAACGUGUUUAACCAGCCAACCAAUCAAUCAAUGCAUGUUUCCGUUUCAUGUGUUUAAUACGGAAUCAGGUCUCUUUUUUUCGCUUGUUUCAAGAGACCCUAUAUCAAGUGUUUAAUUAAUAAACCAAUCAACCAACUAACCAAUAAAUUAAUCAAUCAAUAUAUAUGAUAUUUUAUUUGACAGUUAUAAAGAAAUGGAAGGAAAGACCUAUCAAUUAUUCAAGAAGAAUUGAACUUUAAUUAUACUCGCAUUUCGUUAAUACAAGCACAUAGUGAGGUUAUGCUGAUCAUCUCGUAAGCUUAUUGGAUGUCAAUUAAGGAUCUGGAAACUAAGGUAUACAACUUAAUUUUUAUUAAUAAAGGACAAUUAGUUUGUUUAUAAUAAAGACUGGGUAAAUGGUCAGCUGGCAUCUUGCUUUGUCUGAUAACGGGGUUGUAACAUUUAUUUAUUAAUACGUACAACACACUACAUUUAGCUAUGUAACACAUAUAUGUAUCCCUGUCUUUCUCAUUGGACGGUCGGUCUAAGCUGUUAUUUUCAUUUAACACAAUGUGCAACUAUGUUACAUACACUUGUACAUGGAUCCCUGUCUUUCACAUUGGACGGGCAGGGGCGGAUCCAGCCAUAUUAAAAAGGGGGUCCCAACCCAGGACAAAAGGAGGGUUCCAACUAUAUGUCCCCAUUCAAAUGUAUUGAUCGGCAAAAAAGGGGGUUAUUACCCCCGGACCCCCCCCCCCUGGAUCCGCCAAUGACGGGUCUACCUUGUGGUGUACCGUUAGCUGUUAUUUUCAUUUGACGCAUUUGCAAUUUUCCCGUGCUUUCCUGCUUGAAAUUCAUUACUCACUGUGUAUUGUGAAAAGGUAAGUAUAAAUAUAUUUUUUUUUAAUUUUCUUUUCAUCUUGAAAGACCACCCAUGUCACGUUUGUAAAUGUAAAUAACCCUCCGUUUUUUUAAAUUUUUGUUUUUGACAUUCAAACAACCAAUUCAAUUAAACAUGUUUGGAAUUAAAAAUUUAAGGAAAGAUGAAAAAAGAGGGAGAACACAAAUAGUGUACACAGUAGUUUUAUAAAUAUUUACGUAAUUUAAAGUUUGUUUGAAUUUGCUUUCCGACCGAUUGUCCAGAAUCUUUCACAAUUAAAACAAAUCGUGCGUGCGGGCUCUCCAAUAUUACGGAAAGUAGUUACUUCAAUCCUUACUCUGUUAAACAAAGCACUUUAAAUUUGGCUUUUGUGCUCCCAAAGAUGAAAUAGUUAAGGUUUUAUGGUCCAUAGUCCAGAGAAUAUGACAGGAUUUCUAAAAAAAUCACGUGAAUCAGCGCGUUGAAUUGUUGCACGUCCCGUCGUGUAUAGUACAUUUUUUACUAACUAUGAUUUUGAUAAUAUCACAAUCUCGAUCUCAUCCUAAAUAUUGUCGACUUUGAUAGGCUGCUAGACGCCUUACGUCUGUCGAACAUCUUUGUCUUAUUUUUAAGUGGUGAAAAUGUUAAGGAGACACAAAAUGCAAACCAUAAGUUAUAAGAAAUAAUAGAACAGGAAAAUGAGAAAGACAAACACU
rnacentral:lncRNA from 1 species